rnacentral:tRNA from 2 species
GGAGGAGUGGCAGAGUGGUUGAAUGCACCGGUCUUGAAAACCGACGAAGGUGAAAGUCUUCCCAGGGUUCGAAUCCCUGCUCCUCCGCCA